AUUGAACGCUGGCGGCAGGCCUAACACAUGCAAGUCGAACGAGUGGCGGACGGGUGAGUAAUGUCUGGGAAACUGCCUGAUGGAGGGGGCUAACUACGGGAAACGGUAGCUAAUACCGCAUAACAUCAGAUGUGCCCAGAUGGGAUUAGAUAGUUGGUGGGGUAACGGCUCACCAAGGAGACGAUGCCGAGCUGGUCUGAGAGGAUGACCGGCCACACUGUAACUGAGACACGGUCCAGACUCCUACGGGAGGCAGCAGUGGGGAAUCUUGCGCAAUGGGCGAAAGCCUGAUGCAGCCACGCCGCGUGUGUGAAGAAGGCCUUCGGGUGGUAAAGUUCUGUCAGCAGGGAGGCGUUACCCGCAGAGUAAGCCCCGGCUAACUCCGUGCCAGCAGCCGCGGUAAUUC
rnacentral:rRNA from 1 species